rnacentral:rRNA from 1 species
CCUACGGGAGACAGCAGUGAGGAAUAUUGGUCAAUGGACGCAAGUCUGAACCAGCCAUGCCGCGUGCAGGAAGACGGCUCUAUGAGUUGUAAACUGCUUUUGUACGAGGGUAAACGCAGAUACGUGUAUCUGUCUGAAAGUAUCGUACGAAUAAGGAUCGGCUAACUCCGUGCCAGCAGCCGCGGUAAUACGGAGGAUUCAAGCGUUAUCCGGAUUUAGUGGGUUUAAAGGGUGCGUAGGUGGUCGGAUAAGUUAGAGGUGAAAUCCGGAGGCUCAACUUCGGAAUUGCCUCGGAUACUGUUCGGCUAGAGAGUAGUUGCGGUAGGCGGAAUGUAUGGUGUAGCGGUGAAAUGCUUAGAGAUCAUACAGAACACCGAUUGCGAAGGCAGCUUACCAAGCUACUUCUGACGUUGAGGCACGAAAGCGUGGGGAGCAAACAGGAUUAGAUACCCGGGUAGUC